CACAGCUCCUCCUUCUCAUCCCGCCGUGGCGCCGUGCCGUUGCCCCACUGCCUCUCCCCCCUCGCAUUGCAUCGCAACCCGUAACAAUGUGCGCCGACUUGCACACCGGCACAACCACAGCUGCACCCGCGACCCCCCCACUACCACUUUCUUAACUAGUCAUGCAUGGAACCCCCCCCCCCCCCAAAAAAAAACGUCAAUUUGAGAUCAACAGGUUCCCAUCCACCCGCCUUGCAGGCCUCAAACCAAGCAGUGGGUGCUCUCAUCGGUCAGCCUUUCAGCUCCAAUAUCCUCUUCCCCUCUUUCCAAAUGGGCUCGGGCACAUACCUCCUUGCAACCCCCCACCCCCGCCCCACCUUGGCCACACCGCCCACCACCAGCAGCGGCAGUGUGUAGUAGCCGAUGCCUGUGCUUGCGUGGAAGAGAGAGGGAGGGUGUGUGUGUGUGUGUGUGUGUGUGUGUGUGUGUGUGUGUUAUGGGUGUGUGUGUGUGUGUUAUGGGUAUGUGUGCAUGAGUGUGUCUUGUGUUGCAUUCGUCCUGUCUGCACCUGCAAUGAAAUCGCCCACGCCCACGCCCACGCCCACGCCCCACACCCCACGCCCCACCCCCACGCCACACGCCACCCCACCCCACGCCCACGCCCCACACUGCCCACCUGUGUACAGGUCCGCCACCACCUCGCCCGCCGCCCAGCCCUGGCGCCCCUGCCGCCCGCCGCCGGGCCCGCCCGCCGCAGGCGUCAGGCCGCGACCCCAGCCCAGUCGCGUGCGCUCCGUCACAUUGCCUGCGACAUGCAAAACCACAUAUGCAUCAAACAACGUUAGCAUCAAGUUCACUGUGUGUUAGCCGACUGUACGCGACCUGAAGGACUAGCUGUGUUGUUUCCAGCGCGUGCGCCGGCCAGUGACGCGCCCAAACGCCGAAGCGCCCCAACCCUGAAUCCAGCACAUCAACAAGCGCACUGAGCGUCCCUCUCCCGCUCCCUCUCAACUGCGCCCUUCCCCUCACCCUCCCCCUUCCUCGCCCUCCGCUGUCCAUCCCCCGUUCCUUGUCUCUCCCCCUCCCCCUCUCCCCCUCCACUCGUUUGGUUUAGUUUGGGCUGGUACUUACACUCCCCGCCCCAUUUCCCCACCCGAUGAGAACAUGCAACGCGUCACGUCCAGACUGAAGAGCACGCCGCCCUCGCGGUGAGUCACCCAGCCGGCCUGGUCGCUGCCCACUCCGCCGCCGCCUCCAGGGGUGACGUCAUCACCGCCGUCGAGCAGAAGCACGGCCCGGCUGUCGCGUGUGCCUGCAGGAGCAGGGUGUGGGUUGGGAUUGGCGUUGGGGAGUAGCCGUUCAUGGGGAACGGAGUGAUUCAUUCACAAGUAUGAAGCGCACGGGGCAGCACCCGCGAACGGUUGGCCGUUGUGACUCGUGUUGACGCGGCUCAACUCGACUUGAAAAGAACAACAAACUGAUGCGAGAUGCAUGGAUGGCGAAUUUGGCUUAGGUGUAACCCUGCGCUUGAAGCGUACACCGCAUACAUGGUGGUCUUGCCCGGAUAGAGUGCCGUGCAAAACACACACACGCGGCCGCCGUUCCUUCAGGGCCCGUCCCUCCUCCCCCCGCAUGGCAGCCGUCCCCCGCAGCCGCGCCGCUUCGCUAUUGGUGACACCGGCCAGUUCCGGCGUGGCCCCCCGGAUGAGACUGGGGGAAACCGGGGCCGAUGGGCGGGCUGCAGGGUUUGGCACGCACACGCGCGCGUGCGGGUGUAGCGCACGCUCACGUGCACGGUUUGGGUGGGAGGCGUGGGGACAUACAUGACUGCUGUGGCACACAGAAAUCUGCCGUCGGGGCCAUGGGGCUCGGGAGGAGGCGCGAGCAGCAAGGCGAGGGCGGGGGCACCCACUGGCCCUCUCGUUUCCAACCACUUGCACACUCGCUCUCUUGUCCUUUGCAUGAGCCCGACCCCGCGGCGAGACACGCUGGUGCAUUCCACUUCCACUUCAGCUUCCGCUUCCCUCAUGUCCAUCAGCGUGUGGUGAUAUGCGUCCUAUCUACAUCCGCAUGCAUGACAACCCGCUGUGGUGUGCCCCCCGAACAACCCUUCCCCAAUCCCGCCCGCCCGCACCCUCCCGCCCACCGCUUUUGCUUUCCUAGCACAUACAUAUGCCGGCCCGCCGCACCCACCCACCCGUGUUGGCUACCGGCGCCUGCCUCGCCAGCCGCCUCACUCCAAGCGCCUCCGCCACCGCCCGCCACAGCGGCAGUAGCACCGCCCGCUCCUCGCUGCUGCUGCCGCUGCUACUGCCCUUGCCGCAGCCACUGACGUCGCCGCUGCUACUGCCGCUGCUACUGCCACUGCCGCUGCUACUGCCGCCGAGCGCCGCCACCCAGCCGGGAUGAGUCAGGCUGUCGGCCGGCAGUAGCACCAGAUCUCCCAGCCGCUCCCACUUGGUGGGCAGGUCCGCAAACAGCGCCUCCCAGCUACUGCCAACGCCGGCGCCACUGCUACUGCCGACACCGUUGCUACUGCCGACGCCGUUGCUGCUGGCGGUGCUACUGCCGAUCGAGGCCUGGUGCUGCUGCUGCUGCUGCUGCUGUGCCUGCUGAAGCAGCUGUGUGACCGCCUCCCGCAUUCGGAGGGCGGGGCUGGCGGCGGCGCGGCCUGCGCGCGCCAGCGCCACGCGCACCACCUGCGCGGCACGACAGCAGCAGCCAGCGGGUGUUGGCGCGUGCGUGUCGUCAUGUCAGCUGCGCCACACUCACACUCACACACACACACAUACACACGCACGGUUCAGCCAAGGCUGACAGGGAAACUGCGUGCACCCUUAGCCGUUUUAAAGUAGUGUUUGGAUUUUUUUCGCCAGCACCGCAUGCCAGAGUGCCGUGUCGGGCGCAGUGCGUGUCACGGGGUGUGGCGUGUCCAGCGGCGUGUCCAUUCCUUGACAGGACAUAUGAAACUACAGGUACCUACCCAUCAGGCCGCCAUCGCGCGAGCCGGUGUCGCGCCAACCACAACACGGCCCAAGCCACACGCACUUGCAAGUGCACCGCUUUGUGCCAUGACUCCGCCAUAGCAACCCCACCGAUUGCACAAGCCCGCACACACCGCGACACAAGAACGUGUGCCACAGACACGUGCGACCACGCCAUUCCCUCGAUCUGUCUUCCGCUCCCUGCGGUCCCCGUUCCCUGCUGACCCCUCGCCGCCUCACCUCACAACUGGCACCACCACCACCAACGCAUCUAAAACACACCCACCUGCGCGCCCGCCUUUUCCAAAACCUCCCGUACUCCCUCCGCCGCCGCCUCCGCCGCCACCGCCGCAGGCGCCGCCGCCCCCAGCGCCGCCGCCGCCUCGGGCGUCACCGGCAGUAGCACAUGCCCCGCCGCCGUUGCCGCCGCCGCUACAGGUCCUGCGCCGCCGCCGCCAGUGCUGCUGCCUGCGGCACCACUGGCGGUAGCAUUAGCACUACUGCUGCUGCUGCUGCUGCUACUGCCGCUACGCCGGGAGGCAUCUAGGUAGCCGGCGGCUUUCAGCGCGUCCUUGACGGCCUUGGCAGCGGAACUGAGGACACGCACCGCCCAUCCCUCAGCCGCCGCCACCGCCGCCGAUGCCUCUGUCGCCGCCGCAGCCGCCGAUGCCUCCGUCGCCGCCGCAGCCGAUGAUGCCUCCGCCUCCGCCGCAGCCGAUGCCGCCGCCGCGGGUGCCGCCGUUGCUGGGAACCCCUGGCCAGCAGGGUUCGGCUUUAAAUCAGCAGCCGCGAGGGCAGACGUGGCGGGGGCUGCGACAGAAGGAGCGGUAUGUUGCUGUUGUUGCCCCUGUUGCUGCUGGUUGGGCUGCUGCUGCUGCCUCCUAACGCCGGCGCCAGGGCUAGCACCGCUGCUCGGGCUAGCACCGCUACUCAUACCGGUGCUAGCCUUCAGCUCCGCGCCGCCGGCCCCACCAGCCCUAUCAGCCCCACCGGCACGCUCCGCUUCCCGCCGUACGGCCGCCGUCAGCGUGCCCGGCGCAGCCUUGCUACUGCCGCUACUGCCGCCGCCCGACAGCGGCAGUUCAAAGCAGCCGCCGAACACCGUGCCGAAGCUGAAGCAGAACGCCCCGCCUCCCAUCACAAACAGCGACUCGCCGCCUCCGCUGCUACCGCUACUGCCGCUGCUGCCGCUGCUACUGCCGGUGGCGACGACCUCGGCGCAGUGCCGGAUGGGCACAAAGUCCAACAUUGGCGGCCCCGCCGGUACCGCCGCCACGCCUCCGCCACCGCCGCCAGCUGCUACAGCUGCCGUCGCCGCCGCCGCCACCGCAGCAGCAGCAGCGCCCGCAGCUGCUACAGCCGCGCCGUCUGCCCGGUCUGCUACAGCCAGAUCCACGCCGCAGUCGAAGGAGCGCCACUCGUGCGACCGCACGUCCAUCACGCACAACCGCCGGUGGUGGUCGGUUGGGUAACCGCCAACCAACAGCAGGUAACGGCCCCAGCGGUUGAGCGUGUGGCUGAAGCACGCCGGCGGCAGUAGCUCCUGCGGCGGCGAGCCCACAGCCGCUGGCGGCGGCGCCGCCGCCGCAUCACCACGGUGCCACGUGAGCGUGUCGAGAUCCAGGUACGACACGUCCGAGAAGUGCACGCCGUACCCGCACGUGCCGCCGUGCACGUACAUGCGGCCGGCUGACGAGGAGGCGGCUGUAGCAGCAGCAGCACCACCACCACCAGCAGCCGCGGGCCCCAGAGCGCUCGCAGGGACGUAGCAGGCGGCGUGCGACUUGCGCGGGCACGGCACCGCGCCCCGCGCCGCCACGCGCCGCCAGCGCCAGCCGGCUGCUACAGCCGGAAUGCCGGCUGCUACAGCCGCCGCCGCCGCCGGGUCGCGGCUCAGGAUCCACGUGUCACCGAGCACAGCUUCCGCGCUGCGGCCGCCGUGCACCACCACCCGCCACCCGUCCAACGCGUGCGCGCCGCGGCUGCUACUGCCGCUGCUGCUACUGCCGCUGCUGCUACUGCCGGUCGCCGGCUGCGGCUGCGGCGGCACCGCAACCACCGAGUGGCGGUAGCGGCCGGGGAAGGCGCCGGCCGCGGCUGUAGCAGCGUCCAGCGGCGCGCCGGCCGUGUCGGUUGGAUCCAGGGCCGCCGCCACCUGGAUCCAGGCCCGCGCAGCCAGAUCCAGGAUCCAAACGUCGCCCAGUGCGUCCAUGGGGCUCGUACGGCCGCCCACCAUCACGAUGUACGGCGCAUCUCCAGUGGCGCCGCCGCCACUGCUGCUACAGCCGCCAAUGGCGGCGGCGGCGUGCCCCAUGCGCGCCAGUGGUGCCGCCGCCGUGGCACCGUCCGCCAGCUCAAAGUUGCCCCAUGCACGGGCACGUGUGUCGUACGUCAGUACGUCACUGCGGCGGGCGUGCGCGCCGCCGCCGCCAUAACCACCGAGCAGAUAGAUAAUGUGGCCGGCGGCGGCGGAGGCGUGGCCCCAGCGCGGCACCAUCUCCUCCACCGUGCCCUGUUUUAGGGCGUGUGCGUUGUUGUGCGUUUGGGCCACUGCUGGCAAUUUGAUCGGUUGUGUGAGAUCGUGCAGACGGGCUUGGAGUGCGCUUCAGAGUAUUCGGAGUGUCAUUCUGACGCUCUGUUCGCGCCCCAGUUGAAACAACCUCAUGCACCCAACCCAACGCGAGUGACGUGACCUCUGCAGCGCAGGGACUUUGGCACACUGUCCGCCACCAUCAAACACACAUUGGGUGUGUCAACCGCACACAACCGCACACGCACACGCACCUGCUCCGGGAACACCGGCACGCCCAGCCAGCGCAGCAGCGGCCCCGCGCCCCCGCUGCCCGCGGCAGUAGCAGCCGCCGCCGCUGGCUUUGCUACUGCCUUCGUCGCUGCCACCGACGCUACUGCUGCUAGAGCCGCCUUGGCGACAGGUUUCACAGCCGCGGGCUUGGCCUUUGCUACAGCCGCCAGUGCUGCUACAGCCGCUGCUACAGCCCCGCUCCCGGCCAGCCCAAGCCGCGCCUCUAGCGCUCGCACCCGGCCCAGCACCGCCGCCUGCCGCCGCUUCAGCCCCUCCAGCGCCGACACCGAGCCGGCACCUGCCGCCGCCGCCGCCUCCCCGCCGCCGCGGCGGCGGCGCGCCGGCACCGCCGCCAGGCCCGCCGCCGGCGCCGCCCGCUUGGAUCCAGAUUUGGUGCCGGGCUCGCCGGUGGCAUCAGAUCCGAGAUCCGGAUCCUGCAGCACCCGGAACAGCUCCGCCUCAAACUUCCGGAUCUUGUCCAGGUUCUGGUCGUACUUUUCGUUGGCUAGAUCCACAAUGUACCGGAUGUACGAAUCCGGGACCAGUACGGCACCGCCGUCGGCCACGGGCACCUCCAGCCGCAGGGAGUAGCGGAUGCCCACCUGCACGGGGGGUUGGGGGGGGGGUGCCGGGGGGUUGCAAGGAUUGGUACAGAGAAGGGUAGCGAGGUAGACAGCAGGUGUGGUGUUGUGCGUACCGAUGACCGACGGGGGUGGGUAGCGUGAUUGGGGAUGUGUCGUGUGUGGGGGUUUGUGGAUCGUGGGAAGCGCUUAACAGCGCAAAACACACACGCAUGCGAACAGGCCUGGGUUACACCGCUAGCUACCUCUCCCUCCUCCAACUAUCCCCUCCUCCCAUGCCUGCUCACUGUUGAUCAGCUCUCAUAUACUUACGCCAAACGAGCCGGGGAACGGACCCCACCGGAUCGGCGCUUUUCCUCGCACGUCGCUUAGGCUAGUUCAACGCUCACCAUGACUCUCCGGCCGCCGCUGCCCAACGUGAGGCCGCUCUCGCGCAUGCCCGCCGCCCUCGCCGCCCCCAGCACCGCCUGUCCAGUCAGCGCGUUGUGGGCCUGAGAGGCAGAAGGAGUGGGGCGGGGAGUGGUGUGAGGAGUGGAUAUGGGAGUUGUAGAUACCAGCCCAGACUAAACCAAACCCAAUGCAAUAGAGCGAGGAGGAGAGCGUGGCCGAUGCUUGACAACGGAGCGGGGAGUGUGGGGGUUACAUCCAUGAUGCGUUGAAGAAGAGGUGGGGGAGGGAGUGGGGGUGUGCGGAAUGAGAUGGGUGACCGGUGAGAGGGGAAUGGGAAUGGGAGGUCCGGAACGCCGAAACUGCCGCGAGAGUUUGGUGCAAUUCGCGCAGUGGUGGCACCCUCGGCGUGACAGGCCACGACAAGACACACUGCAUCAGGCUUCAACUCUGUCUUGCAUGGACGGCUAUCCCCCUGCCCACCCCUCCCACACACGUCCGCCCCCCAAACACACAUACACACACACACACACACACGCCUCAUCACACACACACACACACACACACACGCCUCAUCACACACACACACACACACACCCCCCUCACACCCCUCACCUCCAGAGCCAGGAUGAACGGCUCGAAGCGGAGCACCAGUCGCGCGCCCGAGCCCGCCCGGGCGUGUACGGCGGCAAUCACAUCCUGCGGCGGCAGCAGCCAGGCGGCGGUUUACCGUUACGUCCUUUCGUCCGUCGUUUUAUAUUUAGGCAUGUCAAGCGAUAUGUUGCCAAGUACAUAAGCACACUGGUCAAACGUCUUUCCAAAAGGACGGCGCGACCUGGGCAUCACCAGCCCCCGCCAUUACUCCUGACUUGAGCCAGCCCGUUCAUGCCUCAAAUCGUGACUCGCUGUUUCCCAUAAGCUUGUUCGCUUCACGUGCUCAAAUUGAUUGUCCAUCCUCCUUUCCAUCCUUCGGUCCCCACCUCGGCGCUGGCUCGCUCGUGUGUGGCGUACACCCAUUCGCCGCCCUUGCGCCCCGCGGCGCGAUCCUGCGGCCCCGGCUCGCCAAACACCGAGAUGCGGCCGGAGCAGGAGGAGGUGGUGUAGACGGCGGGGUGGGCGUUGAUGCGCGCGACCUGUGAGAGUGUGACAGGGGGGUAAGCCCCGUGUUUGUGACUGGCGGACAGGAAGGACACCCCUGGCUAGCACAGGCUGUCUCGUGUCCCCGAUCCCAACACCCACACCCACCCACCCCCAACACAAACCCACACCAGCACCCACACCCACACACGCGCACACACCCACCCACACACCCACAUGCACGUCCAAGCACUGCCCCUCCUCACUUCCUUACUCGUGGGACUGGUGCAACCGUGCAAUCCACCACGCACGACCCCCCCCCCCCCCCCACACACACACGCCACACGCCACACGCCCCGUAACCCCACGCACCAGCUCCGCAACCGGGGCAUCCACACUGCCCUUGCGGCUUUUGUCGCCGCAGUCCGCCGCCAGCGACGCCACCACACCCGCCUUGCGCUGCGCAAACGCAUCCAGCCGCCCGCCACCCGCCGCCUUGCCCAUGCCGCCGCCGCCGCCGCCCGUGUGAGCUGCAGCCAUGCCGCUUUGUCCUAUGCCUGCCCUUCGGGAUUACUGCUUUGCUGCUACAGCCUCUGCCUGGUUGCCGCUGCAACCACUGCCUGCCUGCUGCCUGCGAAUGCCGCUGCUGCUGCUACUGCUACUGCUGCCGCCUCUGGCUGCCUGCUGCUUCAGCCGGUCUGCCUGCCCCUGCUGCUGCCUGCUGCUACUGCCCCUGCUGCUACUGCCCCUGCUACUGCUACUGCUACAGCCUGCUCCCUAUCAGCGCUGCAGCCCCAGCAUGUCCUGCAGCUGCUCCAGCCGCUUGCGUCCCUCGCUCAGCAGGAACUUGAUGGCCUGCGGGAGGAGGCAAUGUGGGAAUAGAAAUGUGGGAAUGGAAAUGUGGGAAUCCCCCUACAAUAAACACAACGUACACCCUGUGUUUGUGCUUUUCUACCCCCCCCCCCCCCCCCACACACACACACAAAAACAGAGUAGCCCGCAUAUGCGGCUGCAGCUUCUCCUUGCAGCGCUACUGUUUCCUAAUGGGAUUGGUUCAUAGUUAACCCCCCCCACACACACACAUGGGCGGGCUUCCGUUUCCUUUUUUAACACACACACACACACACACACACACACACGCUCACACACACCUGCAGGUCGGUCACGUGCCGCUGCGCCUCGAAGUUGCGGCGCACCUCCACCGCCAGAUCCCCUGCAGCAGCAGCAGCAGCAGCAGCACAGGCCACACACACAAGCACACACACAGGAGGUUUUCCACGAGGCCACAAGGCGCCGGCGCCGACGCAGGCAUCAGCGCUGGCCGCCAAAGUCGCAGACAUGGCACACACGACACGCAACGUGCCGCCGUGGCGGUUGGCCCCGGUUGGUUCCAACGGUGCGUAACCGCCGGCAACCGCCCUUGGUGGCGGGAAUCCAAGGAACAGGAUGGGCGGCAGCGGGCUGCUAGCGGCUGAAGACAGGGGGGCGUCAGCACGUUGCUAUUAGCCCGGCCCCCGCACCCAUGCAAGCUUGCAGGCAGGCAGGCACUGCGACACACGCCGUCACACGCAUGCCUCUAAGCCUGGUCACCCUGGCUUUGGCUCUUUCUCGAUCGGGAAUCCAGCGCUGCCGGCCUCCCCAACGUCAGUGCCUUACUAAUGCACCGUCAUGGCAGGGCCCAGGCGCGCGAUACCGCCCUCCUGGGGGCGACGUCGUGCCGUUCGCCGGCGCCAACCACGAGCGGCAUAUGCGUAUGCAACACGUCGUGGGGCCCCCGGACACUCACUUCGCUCGCUGCCAGUCCCGAGGCCUCUGCUUGCACGCAAGUACUGUCUGUAGAGGCCCAGAACGUGCGAGCGAUAAAUGAAGUGCCGAAGGCUCUGGGCGGCUGCCAAUCCGCCCGCCGGCAUACUACUUUAGCGCUGCGUCUGGAGCUAUAAAGGUAGUUUGUUGUAGUUUUGCGUCAAACAAUCUACAAGCGUGCUGAAUGGCGAGGGCGCAACACCGCAAUUCACAAACAGUUGGUAAAGUCCAGUUGCACUUUGUCAAAUAUGGCAUUUGCAUGUAAUUGAUAAUAUUGCGACAUGCAUGAUGACUUGUCACAAGCUGACAAUCGUUGCCGACACGCGUGUUCGUGUGUGCGCGUGUCGAGCCCCUUCCGUUUCCCCAGCGGGACCCCAAUAGCCAGUCCCGCCCUUUGGCCGUCAUGCGCUGGACUAAAGAUACAAUUCUGCGACUUAUCCUUGAAUUGCUGUCAAGGCCCCGCUGGCUGCGGCUGACGAGGUGUUGAACCAUGUUUGGCAAUGUAGAGUAUCCCAGGCGCACGGCACCACGGCGCUGCCAUAGAACAAGGGGGAAGGUUGUGUUAGCAUGCCCGGUGCAUCGCUACCUCAAAGGUGGUAGCACGUACCUGUCCCGCAAAGGCUUGGCCUAACGCCGGCAUCCGCCUUGGCGGUGGCCCCGAUCGGGCCUUACUCCCCGGUCAUGCACUGCGCCAGUAUGCGUGUGUGUGUGGUCUUACAUCACGUGUGGUACCUUGCGGGCUGCCUGCGACACAAAUUCAUCGUCACUGCUGCCAUCCAACCCUGCUGCCAUGCAACCCCUUGCGCCUCCCCCUCCCGCCACCCCGAGUGGCUUGCCGAGUGGUAGCGUAUUGACCUCGCUCGAGCGUGGCUCUUAUGCCGCAGUUCGGCCAUGGCCCCAGUUGCUCAUCAGGCAAAGGAGUAUCCUUCCGUCUCCUACUGGAAUGCCCCUCGAGAGGUGGAGGGGUAAUCCGUGGGGGUAAUCGCAGGGACCCGCAAACCCCCCGUCUCGCGCCGAACUUCCGCGGCAUAUCCCUGGCGACCCCAAUCGCGACCCACCAACUGGCCUGCAUGAUGAUACUGUGCAUGCAUGCUGGGGCUCGCACGCCGUCCGAACCCGCGCGCAAAGCUGGCCCGCGGCCACGAAAUCGUGGCAUUUGCACUUGCCGGUCCGAUUCUACUAUGCCGCGCCACGAGCAGCGACGCGCGAAGCCCAUUUCCCCUGUCAUACAAAUUCAGGAAGCCCAUGGUCACACAUUAGAGCCGCGCAUGUAGGUCAAGCUGUCUGCGUAGGGUCCUGUUUGCGUGGCUUUGGCAUGUGCACCCGGCGCCCAGCGCCCGAGCGCAAUUCAAGUGGUUAAGACGCCUCAGAACGCGUAAUUGAAUGCAUGUGUCAUUCUGGAAGGGUGUAUAGAGCGGUCGAGCGGAAGGCUGUCCAGCUCGCGUGCAAGCAAUUGUCUCGCGACGCCCGCUCCCGACGAGUGCGACCGCCCGCGACCGGGUUCGCUGGUGCAAGUGGCUUCAUUAGCGAGGUUUCGGGCUGGCUGCGGGCCAAUGCGAGCGCUGGGCGCAGAGAAAAAGGCGACGUACGGCGAUGAAGGCUCCAGGGCGGAUGGGCGAGGGGCAACCGGGAUAAAUGGUCCUCCUUUCCCCAAGGCCCGCUACACUCUUGACCUUGCUCACGUAGUGUCCUUCGUCGCCACUCACAACCUUCAAAAAUGGCCAUGGCUAUGCGCUCCACCUUCGCCGCCCGCGUUGGCGCUAAGCCCGCUGUCCGCGGUGCUCGCCCCGCCAGCCGCAUGAGCUGCAUGGCCUACAAGGUCACCCUGAAGACCCCUUCGGGCGACAAGACCAUUGAGUGCCCCGCUGACACCUACAUCCUGGACGCUGCUGAGGUGAGGCGGUCUGAAUCGGCUGCUGGCGUUAGGGACCCGCCUGCCCGGGCGCGCUUGGCCUUCCUGCUAGCGCAGCUUCGCCUACAUGUGCUUUGAUCAGCCAAUUGGAGCGAACAGCGCCGACGAUCGCAGAGGUUCUGGGUCGGAAUUGCACUAACGAUCAGUGCUGACGAGUCGUGCCCCUCUUCCUUCUUGCUGCUCUGCGACCACAGGAGGCCGGCCUGGACCUGCCCUACUCUUGCCGCGCUGGUGCUUGCUCCAGCUGCGCCGGCAAGGUCGCUGCCGGCACCGUCGACCAGUCGGACCAGUCCUUCCUGGACGAUGCCCAGAUGGGCAACGGCUUCGUGCUGACCUGCGUGGCCUACCCCACCUCGGACUGCACCAUCCAGACCCACCAGGAGGAGGCCCUGUACUAAGCGCUUUCGCCAUCUGCGGGGGUCGUAGGCUAGAACUGGGGUUGGGGAUCGGGCUGCUUGCAUAGCCAAGCAAUUUUCCAUCUGGCCAGCAAUGGCCUAGCACUAUGAGCGGUUCAAGUGUCUCUUGUGUGUUGUGUCGCAUUGCAUGGCCGUGGUGACCUGCAAUUUUCUGUAACCGG
rnacentral:lncRNA from 1 species